rnacentral:siRNA from 1 species
GGAAGGAUCAUUCACAUGGCCAUC